rnacentral:rRNA from 1 species
CAAUGGACAAUACAAAGGGCAGCGAAACCGCGAGGUCAAGCAAAUCCCAUAAAGUUGUUCUCAGUUCGGAUUGUAGUCUGCAACUCGACUACAUGAAGCUGGAAUCGCUAGUAAUCGUAGAUCAGCAUGCUACGGUGAAUACGUUCCCGGGUCUUGUACACACCGCCCGUCACACCACGAGAGUUUGUAACACCCGAAGCCGGUGGAGUAACCUUUUAGGAGCUAGCCGUCGAAGGUGGGACAAAUGAUUGGGGUGAAGUCGUAACAAGGUAGCCGUAUCGGAAGGUGCGGCUGGAUCACCUCCUUU